AAGUCGUAACAAGGUUUCCGUAGGUGAACCUGCGGAAGGAUCAUUAAUGAAACUUGAAUCGUAGCAUGGAGAACUGUUGCUGACCCGCAAGGGUAUGUGCACGUUUGAAGUGUUGCGUUCUAUUCAUCCACCUGUGCACCUUUGUAGACUUGGUUAACUUUCGCCCUAGGGCGGAUAGAAGGGUUGCUUUCGAGCUCCCUUUGUCUUACCAAGUCUAUGUCUAUAUAAUCUCUUGUAUGUCUAGAAUGUCUUGUUUAUAGGACGCAAGUCCUUUAAAUCUUAUACAACUUUCAACAACGGAUCUCUUGGCUCUC
rnacentral:misc_RNA from 1 species